UACGGAGGGAGCUAGCGUUGUUCGGAAUUACUGGGCGUAAAGCGCACGUAGGCGGCCUUGUAAGUCAGGGGUGAAAGCCCAGGGCUCAACCUCGGAACUGCACUUGAAACUGGGAAGCUAGAGUCCUGGAGAGGCGAGUGGAAUUCCCAGUGUAGAGGUGAAAUGCGUAGAUAUUCGGAGGAACACCAGUGGCGAAGGCGCCUCGCUGGACAAGUAUUGACGAUGAGGUGCGAAAGCGUGGGGAGCAAACAGG
rnacentral:rRNA from 1 species